UGGUGGUCUAUAGCAGUUUGAGAGAGAGAAUAACAGUUCACUUUUCUUUCUAAAGCUUCAUUGCUGAUCAACCAAAAGAACAAAGAUUUCCCUUCACUGAAUUCAAUGACAACAACCAACUCAAUGACUCAACAGACUCACUGGGGUCAGAGGGAGAGUUUGGGAGUACAGUUUGACACUUCAUGCUCAGAAAUCUCCCAGAGAUAUGGUCCAGCUACUACAAUAGAGAGAGGUAUAGGAGGAACAGAAGUGUUGGGCUAUAGAGGCAUCUCCAUUCCGCUUCCAUCCUCAGCAUCUCAAUACUCAGGCAGCAACACGUUCCCAUUGGUCCAUCCCCAGGACGAGAGGACUCCAUCGGCUCACCAUGCAGAGAGAUUCAUUUUCCCAUUGGCUCAUCAUUACACAGACGUGAGGACAGUCUUCCCAUUGGCUCAUCAGACUGAGAGGAUGGGACAUUCACUGAACUAUCAUUGGGAUGAUGGGUCAAAUUUCCAAUUUGUUCAUCACCAAACAGAUGAAAGGAUUCUAUUGGCUCAUCACAGGGAGAGGACUGGUGGUCCAUCGCUUAUAUGACAGAAUGUCUCUCCCCUUUUCCAAAACACUUUUCUCUGAAUGUCAGAGCCAAACAUUCAUACACACACACACACACACACACACACCUCUAAGGCUCUGCUGAUUACUACUGGGCAGGGUAUGCAAUAGAGUGGGUACAGAGACAUUCCAAUCGUGACCUAAUGUGUUUAAAAUUACAUUUCUACAGGCUAUUGCAACAUAUCUCAGUGAAAUGUAUGACCUUUUCUGU